AUUGAACGCUGGCGGCAUGCCUUACACAUGCAAGUCGAACGGUAACAGGUUAAGCUGACGAGUGGCGAACGGGUGAGUAAUGUAUCGGAACGUGCCCAGUCGUGGGUGAUAACUGCUCGAAAGAGCAGCUAAUACCGCAUACGACCUGAGGGUUAAAGCGGGGGAUCGCAAGCCCUCGCGCGAUUGGAGCGGCCGAUAUCAGAUUAGGUAGUUGGUGAGGUAAAGGCUCACCAAGCCGACGAUCUGUAGCUGGUCUGAGAGGACGACCAGCCACACUGGGACUGAGACACGGCCCAGACUCCUACGGGAGGCAGCAGUGGGGAAUUUUGGACAAUGGGCGCAAGCCUGAUCCAGCCAUGCCGCGUGCGGGAAGAAGGCCUUCGGGUUGUAAACCGCUUUUGUCAGGGAAGAAAAGGUUCUGGCUAAUACCUGGGACUCAUGACGGUACCUGAAGAAUAAGCACCGGCUAACUACGUG
rnacentral:rRNA from 1 species